UUGGUUUGAUGAGUAAAUGAGU
rnacentral:siRNA from 1 species